GUGCCUCGGCGGCUUCUUCCCACGUCUUUUGAACACACGUCCGUGUUUAGGUUGAGGAGCGAGGACGCCGCGCCGCUUCCAGGGAACUUAAACAAAAGGCCCGCUGGGUCAUUUCGUGGGGAGACGGAGAAGAUUUGCAACUUUCAAUGAUUUGUUUCUAUUCUUUGUCAUUUUGUUGUCCAGUUUCACGUUUUGGACCUCAAAGCUUGGAACAUUUUCUGUUGUCAAUCAAGCCGUACGUACAGAACCCGGGUUGUUGAAGGGACAGCGUUCCUGUUUUUCUUUCUUCACUUCCUAGUUGAGUUUUCACUGAAGAUGUGCCAAAGGGGAGAGCUCAUCCCCGUGAAAGGCCCUUUCUCUGUUAGUCUUCUCCCUCCGGGCGUUCAGUUGUUUGCUUUAAGACAAGAAGACUGCAGAAAAACUCCUUUUUCUUUUGCAGCCACCAGGUGGCAGAAGAGCAUUGUUUCUAAAUAUGAAAUGUACUCGCACUGCGAGACGCAUUUGUGAGAUUCAUCAUGCGAGUUCUGGGGGAAACUUCUCAUUCUGUAGCUCAAUGUAUCUUAAAAGUACAAUUUUUUCUCUUCUAAUAACUGCGGCUUGUGAAUGCUCUUGUGGACCAUUGUUCUGAUAUUCCCCUUUCUAAAGGCUGUCAAGUCCAUUUCCAAUUCCCCAGAAUAAAUGAUUUUUUUUUUGUUUUUUUACCGGGCCAUGAGAAUUUCCUGCACAUCCGACAACUACAACUGAUGUUGGAAGCAUCAGUUUAACGCCAAGCACGUCGACGCCUCCCUGAAUAAACGCAGUCCACUUUGCUCUCUCACACACACACACACACACACACCUCGGGGCAACACUGCACAGCUAUACUCGGGUGCCAAAAAGAAGUCUGCACUGCUACAAGUAUCGAUCGGGCCUUGGCCUUGGGAGCUGUGCGAGGUAGAGACCAAGCCAGAACCGCCCGUGGCGAAAGCUCCACGUUUGCCAGGCCUGGACUGAGUGGGCUUGCUUCAAGACUCUCCCUCUCUCUCCCUCUCCCUCUCUCCCCCCUCCUCAGGUAGAGAGAGG
ensembl:lncRNA